AAAUAUAUGUUAAGUGGAAAAGGAUGUGGCGUUGCCCAGACAACUAGGAUGUUGGCUUAGAAGCAGCCAUCAUUUAAAGAGUGCGUAAUAGCUCACUAGUCGAGUGACACUGCGCCGAAAAUGUACCGGGGCUAAACAUAUUACCGAAGCUGUGGAUUGUCCUUUGGACAAUGGUAGGAGAGCGUUCUAAGGGCGUUGAAGCAUGAUCGUAAGGACAUGUGGAGCGCUUAGAAGUGAGAAUGCCGGUGUGAGUAGCGAAAGACGGGUGAGAAUCCCGUCCACCGAUUGACUAAGGUUUCCAGAGGAAGGCUCGUCCGCUCUGGGUUAGUCGGGUCCUAAGCUGAGGCCGACAGGCGUAGGCGAUGGAUAACAGGUUGAUAUUCCUGUACCACCUAUAAUCGUUUUAAUCGAUGGGGGGACGCAGUAGGAUAGGCGAAGCGUGCGAUUGGAUUGCACGUCUAAGCAGUAAGGCUGAGUAUUAGGCAAAUCCGGUACUCGUUAAGGCUGAGCUGUGAUGGGGAGAAGACAUUGAGUCUUCGAGUCGUUGAUUUCACACUGCCGAGAAAAGCCUCUAGAUAGAAAAUAGGUGCCCGUACCGCAAACCGACACAGGUAGUCAAGAUGAGAAUUCUAAGGUGAGCGAGCGAACUCUCGUUAAGGAACUCGGCAAAAUGACCCCGUAACUUCGGGAGAAGGGGUGCUCUUUAGGGUUAACGCCCAGAAGAGCCGCAGUGAAUAGGCCCAAGCGACUGUUUAUCAAAAACACAGGUCUCUGCUAAACCGUAAGGUGAUGUAUAGGGGCUGACGCCUGCCCGGUGCUGGAAGGUUAAGAGGAGUGGUUAGCUUCUGCGAAGCUACGAAUCGAAGCCCCAGUAAACGGCGGCCGUAACUAUAACGGUCCUAAGGUAGCGAAAUUCCUUGUCGGGUAAGUUCCGACCCGCACGAAAGGCGUAACGAUUUGGGCACUGUCUCAACGAGAGACUCGGUGAAAUCAUAGUACCUGUGAAGAUGCAGGUUACCCGCGACAGGACGGAAAGACCCCGUGGAGCUUUACUGUAGCCUGAUAUUGAAAUUCGGCACAGCUUGUACAGGAUAGGUAGGAGCCUUUGAAACGUGAGCGCUAGCUUACGUGGAGGCGCUGGUGGGAUACUACCCUAGCUGUGUUGGCUUUCUAACCCGCACCACUUAUCGUGGUGGGAGACAGUGUCAAGCGGGCAGUUUGACUGGGGCGGUCGCCUCCUAAAAGGUAACGGAGGCGCUCAAAGGUUCCCUCAGAAUGGUUGGAAAUCAUUCAUAGAGUGUAAAGGCAUAAGGGAGCUUGACUGCGAGACCUACAAGUCGAGCAGGGUCGAAAGACGGACUUAGUGAUCCGGUGGUUCCGCAUGGAAGGGCCAUCGCUCAACGGAUAAAAGCUACCCCGGGGAUAACAGGCUUAUCUCCCCCAAGAGUUCACAUCGACGGGGAGGUUUGGCACCUCGAUGUCGGCUCAUCGCAUCCUGGGGCUGUAGUCGGUCCCAAGGGUUGGGCUGUUCGCCCAUUAAAGCGGUACGCGAGCUGGGUUCAGAACGUCGUGAGACAGUUCGGUCCCUAUCCGUCGUGGGCGUAGGAAAUUUGAGAGGAGCUGUCCUUAGUACGAGAGGACCGGGAUGGACAUACCUCUGGUGUACCAGUUGUCGUGCCAACGGCAUAGCUGGGUAGCUAUGUGUGGACGGGAUAAGUGCUGAAAGCAUCUAAGCAUGAAGCCCCCCUCAAGAUGAGAUUUCCCAACUUCGGUUAUAAGAUCCCUCAAAGAUGAUGAGGUUAAUAGGUUCGAGGUGGAAGCAUGGUGACAUGUGGAGCUGACGAAUACUAAUCGAUCGAAGACUUAAUCAA
rnacentral:rRNA from 1 species